AUUGAACGCUGGCGGAAUGCUUUACACAUGCAAGUCGAACGGUAGAGGGGGCAACCCCUUGAGAGUGGCGAACGGGUGAGUAAUAUAUCGGAACGUGCCCAGUCGUGGGGAUAACGUAGCGAAAGUUACGCUAAUACCGCAUACGAUCUAAGGAUGAAAGCGGGGGAUCGCAAGACCUCGCGCGAUUGGAGCGGCCGAUAUCAGAUUAGGUAGUUGGUGAGGUAAAGGCUCACCAAGCCAACGAUCUGUAGCUGGUCUGAGAGGACGACCAGCCACACUGGGACUGAGACACGGCCCAGACUCCUACGGGAGGCAGCAGUGGGGAAUUUUGGACAAUGGGGCGCAAGCCUGAUCCAGCAAUGCCGCGUGCAGGAUGAAGGCCUUCGGUUGUAAACUGCUUUGUACGGUAACG
rnacentral:rRNA from 1 species